UUAUGUCCACUAGCACCAAACGCAUAAAAGGAAGCAUCCGAGAAGCACCGGUCAGCCUGCAUGCCUUCUUACGUACUAAAAGUGUGCAUAUUUUUCUCCUCUUAAACCUUUUUCUUCUUCCUCUAGUAUCUUUUCAUCCUCCACGCCUGAAUUUCCCUAAAUCCAUCUAAUUAUUUUUUCAAACAGUCCCAUAUACAUACAUAGUUUUUCAGUUAUCCAUACUUGUUGUAUAUAAUACUACUAUAUAUAAACAGAGUCAAACGAUGAAAGAUAUUAUCGUCACAUUAAAACCAUCCAUGACCAUAUCCAAAUUCAUCUUUUUUGGUACCCUUACAUCAAUACCAAUCCUCCUUUUUCUCUGUAACAGAUCCUCCUCCUCCUCCGCCCUCAUCUCCACCACAACAUCAAAUUCCUAUUCCGAUCUCAAAAUCCGACCCGGAUAUGCCACCUACGAUUCCUACAUCAAGAAACAGCUUAACAAAACCCUCAAUCCAACACUCCGUAAAAUAUGGACGACACGUGAUUGGGAUCGGAAAAUUCAAGUUUUUUCAAAAUUCUUCGGCGAACUCAAAACCAGAAAGCUCGUCUCAGACUCAUCGAAGGUCCUCUGCAUUGGUGCCCGUAUGGGUCAGGAAGUGGAAGCGUUGAAACGGGUCGGGGUACAAGAUUCAAUCGGAAUCGACCUGGUACCCUACCCGCCAUUAGUGGUAAAAGGCGAUUUUCAUAACCAACCGUUCGAUGAUCACAUAUUUGAUCUGGAAUUCUCCAACGUGUUUGAUCAUGCUCUUUUUCCGGAGAAGUUCGUUUCGGAGAUAGAACGGACGUUGAAGCCCAGCGGGGUUUGCGUAUUACAUGUGGCCUUAUCUAGACGAGCCGAUAAAUAUUCAGCCAAUGAUUUGUAUAGUGUUGAACCCUUGAAGAAACUGUUUAAGCGGUCCGAGUUGCUUCACACUCGAACCGUUGAUGGGUUCGGUUUGGAUACGGAAGUUGUUUUCAGGAAAAAAAGAUGAUCGAACCGGUUCGUAUUUUCUUUUUAUUUUUAUUCCAGUUGGAUUAAUGUUUGAUAUUAAAUUCUUUUUAAAGUUUAGUAGUAGUUGACUUCGGGAAAUAUCUAUUUUUUAAGUUCUACCGAUGUGUUCGAAAAGCAGAUUGAACAGACAUAGCAGACACUUAUUUUGAAAGACAUGCUAAUAUUUUUGUAAACAAUACUGUUAAUGAUGACUUCAGUUCCUUCGUUUUGAAU